ACCGUUUAAACUCCUAGGUGUCUUCAUGGAAUAAUCCGAAUGUCCACUCUCGGUGUGGAAUGUUAUCGUGGUGCAAGUCCCGGCGCCAGAGCUCCCAGACAUCCGGGGCUUGUUUGGAGAUGCUUUGAUUGACAUGUACACAGAGAUUCAUACUGAGGUCACUAUGUGGCAGCAGAUUUGGCAGACGGUGCGCCAUAAACUGGUAACAGGCUGAAGACACCUCACUCCCCCCUGGCUGACCCCCCUGCCAUCAAGGAGCUGCUGAAAGCUGAGAUCCAACUGCUGCUGGCGACCGUGAGGGAGAGAGCAGCCUUGGAGGGCAGGGAUGGAGAUGCAUACAUAUUCCGGUACAGUUCUAGUGUGGUGAAUUACGCCUUGGGAGACACAAGCUGAAUGUCACCCACAUAGAUGAUGUUGUGGCCCACCUCAAAUCAGUUCUGACUGAAGAAUGUGAGGUGCUGAAAAGCCAAGUGCACUUUCUGCAGGAGAGUGUAGAACAGGAACACCGGACACAGUGUGAUGUCACUGAGGCUCCAGAGCCAACUGUAACAGAGCUGAAGGAGGAGAGGAGAGCCAUCCAGUUGGAUCUGAAGAAGCAGAGCCUCAGCCUCACCUACUGUCCCUCCUCCCCUGUGGAAACAAGCCUGCAGAGCAGAUCCGGGUCGAUUGGAUGGACAGGUUUGUCUGCGGAUGACACACAGAGACACUUGACCCCUAUGGUGGCCCCCAGAGUGCAUCCUCCACAUACCAGGCCCAGUCCACCACUAGUAUCCAGCCCUCUCCAACCCUCUGAACAUAAACAUCCAAGGACUCACAGCCAGAGCUCUGAGGCUUCCCACCCCUGCAACAGAGAACCCAUCACCACCGCUCAAGCCAGGGACAGCUACCUACCGCCCCUGGUCCCCUCUGCUAGCAUAGUAACCACCCAUGGAUCCUACCUCAACCCUGCCUCAGAACAGAGAAUAAAGGGCAGAACUUGCAGGCCUAGUGGUUAGCCUGUGACUGUGAGAGCUCAAAGACAUGAUGACUCAUGGUCAGACUCAGUGAACAGCUGGCCCUUGUUGUUCCCUGGUGGACACAGUCCUCUAGGCUCCUCCACACAGCCUCCGGGGAGCAAAGGGAGCUGUGAGCAGAUGAGCCCUGUAAGCAUGUUCCACCCUGCUCCCCCCGCAGUGCAGAGGCCAGCCAGCAGAGGGCCGAGUGGGGCCAGGCACCUGUGUCUGCCGCAGCAGGGGGACAGUCUGGUUAGCUCCUCGUAAACUGAACUCUUUACAACAGAAUAAGAGGAUAGUGAGUCUCUGAUACUGUCAUAUAUGUUCUACCUGCAGUCUGGUCCUAAAAGGAGACAAGUCUCUCAUCAGAGGUCAAUAAAAAGGGAUGUCGUAAUCUCUUUAAUAUAAAGUAAUACAGUAACCCUAGUCUUCCACAAUGAGUCAAGAGACAUAGGGAUGUUAUAUUGUCCUUUUCUAGAGACCUAGAAGACCUGAAAGUGAACACAUGACACAGAUAUGGUUGGAUGCUUUCGAAAUGUGUCAAAUUUGAUCUACCUAAUUCAACCAUUUAUUGAAUGUAUUUUGAAGUAAAUAAAUGCAACUGUAUUUGGAUAAAUAAAUGUUCAUAUGCCUGUAAUACAUGGUUUAUUAACAAUCUACUUUCUCCCAUCUAACAAAAGCCAUAGCCUGUUCAGAAAGACAAAACACAAAUGGGACAUGAACCACACUUGAGU